CCAAUAGCGUAUAUUAAAGUUGUUGCAGUUAAAAAGCUCGUAGUUGAAUUUCGGGAUCAAUACGUCGGUCGUGCCUUGGUACGUACUAACGUUAUUGAUUUCUACCUUCUGACGAACCGUGAUGUCAUUAAUUUGGUGUUACGGGAAGUCAGGACUGUUACUUUGACAAAAUUAGAGUGUUUAAAGCAAGCAAUCGCUCGCAUACAUUAGCAUGGAAUAAUGAAAUAGGACGUUCGAACCUAUUUUGUUGGUUUCUAGGAUCGACGUAAUGAUUAAUAGGGAUAGUUGGGGGCAUUAGUAUUCAAUUGUCAGAGGUGAAAUUCUUGGAUUUAUUGAAGACUAACUACUGCGAAAGCAUUUGCCAAGGAUGUUUUCAUUAAUCAAGAACGAAAGUUAGGGGAUCGAAGACGAUCAGAUACCGUCGUAGUCUUAACCAUAAACUAUGCCGACUAGGGAUCGGAUGAUGUUAAUUUUUUAAUGACUCAUUCGGCGCCUUACG
rnacentral:rRNA from 1 species